rnacentral:rRNA from 1 species
AACGAACGCUGGCGGCAGGCCUAACACAUGCAAGUCGAGCGCUCUCUUCGGAGGGAGCGGCGGACGGGUGAGUAACGCGUGGGAAUAUGCCCUUCUCUACGGAAUAGCCACUGGAAACGGUGAGUAAUACCGUAUACGCCCUUCGGGGGAAAGAUUUAUCGGAGAAGGAUUAGCCCGCGUUAGAUUAGAUAGUUGGUGGGGUAAUGGCCUACCAAGUCUACGAUCUAUAGCUGGUUUUAGAGGACGAUCAGCCACACUGGGACUGAGACACGGCCCAGACUCCUACGGGAGGCAGCAGUGGGGAAUCUUAGACAAUGGCGAAAGCCUGAUCUAGCCAUGCCGCGUGAGUGAUGAAGGCCCUAGGGUCUAAAGCUCUUUCGCCAGGGAUGAUAAUGACAGUACCUGGUAAAGAACCCCCGGCUAACUCCGUGCCAGCGCCGCGGUAA